rnacentral:rRNA from 1 species
GACGAACGCUGGCGGCGUGCCUAAUACAUGCAAGUCGAACGAGAGCGACCGGUGCUUGCACUGGUCAAUCUAGUGGCGAACGGGUGAGUAACACGUGGGUAACCUGCCCAUCAGAGGGGGAUAACAUUCGGAAACGGAUGCUAAAACCGCAUAGGUCUUCGAACCGCAUGGUUUGAAGAGGAAAAGAGGCGCAAGCUUCUGCUGAUGGAUGGACCCGCGGUGCAUUAGCUAGUUGGUGAGGUAACGGCUCACCAAGGCCGUGAUGCAUAGCCGACCUGAGAGGGUGAUCGGCCACAUUGGGACUGAGACACGGCCCAAACUCCUACGGGAGGCAGCAGUAGGGAAUCUUCCGCAAUGGACGCAAGUCUGACGGAGCAACGCCGCGUGAGUGAAGAAGGUGUUCGGAUCGUAAAACUCUGUUGUUAGAGAAGAACAAGUGCUAGAGUAACUGUUAGCGCCUUGACGGUAUCUAACCAGAAAGCCACGGCUAACUACGUG